AUUGAACGCUGGCGGCAGGCCUAACACAUGCAAGUCGAGCGGAGCGGCGGACGGGUGAGUAAUGCCUAGGAAUCUGCCUGGUAGUGGGGGAUAACGACCGGAAACGGGCGCUAAUACCGCAUACUAUCAGAUGAGCCUAGGUCGGAUUAGCUAGUUGGUGGGGUAAAGGCUUACCAAGGCGACGAUCCGUAACGGUGCUGAGAGGAUGAUCAGUCACACGGGAACUGAGACACGGCCCAGACUCCUACGGGAGGCAGCAGUGGGGAAUAUUUGGCAAUGGGCGAAAGCCUGAUCCAGCCAUGCCGCGUGUGUGAAGAAGGUCUUCGGAUUGUAAAGCACUUUAAUUUGAGAAGCGUUACCAACAGAAAAAGCACCGGCUAACUUCGUGCCAGCAGCCGCGGUAAUAC
rnacentral:rRNA from 1 species